rnacentral:rRNA from 1 species
AUACGGAGGGUGCAAGCGUUAUUCGGAAUCACUGGGCGUAAAGGACGCGUAGGCGGGUUGGCAAGUCAGAUGUGAAAUCCUACAGCUUAACUGUAGAACUGCAUUUGAAACUGCUAACCUAGAGUAUGGGAGGGGGAGAUGGAAUUAGUGGUGUAGGGGUAAAAUCCGUAGAUAUCACUAGGAAUACCGAAAGCGAAGGCGAUCUCCUGGAACAUAACUGACGCUCAGGCGUGAAAGCGUGGGGAGCAAACAGGAUUAGAAACCCUUGUAGUCC